UACGUAGGUGGCAAGCGUUGUCCGGAAUUAUUGGGCGUAAAGCGCGCGCAGGCGGUCUCUUAAGUCUGAUGUGAAAGCCCACGGCUCAACCGUGGAGGGUCAUUGGAAACUGGGGGACUUGAGUGCAGAAGAGGAAAGCGGAAUUCCACGUGUAGCGGUGAAAUGCGUAGAGAUGUGGAGGAACACCAGUGGCGAAGGCGGCUUUCUGGACCAGCACUGACACUGAGGCACGAAAGCGUGGGGAGCAAACAGG
rnacentral:rRNA from 1 species